AAACUCACCAGGUCAGGACACGGUAAGGAUUGACGGACUGAAGGCUCUUUCUCGAUUCCGUGGAAAGUGGUGCAUGGCCGUUUUUGGUUGGUGGAUCGAUCCGUCUGGUUAAUUCCGUUAACGAACGAGACCUCGGCACUCCGAAUAGCGCGGCGGACGUCGCGGCCUCCGGGCCGUCUUCCGCACGAGCUUCUUAGAGGGACCGUCCCCCGCCGGGGAAGGAGGUGCGAGGCAACGACAGGUCUGUGAUGCCCUUAGAUGUUCUGGGCCGCACGCGCAUUACACUGACGCGUCCAACGGGUGACUCCCGACCCGAAGGGGCCGGGGAAUCCGCAAGGCGCGUCGUGAUGGGGAUUGAACGUUGCAAUUGUUGUUCACGAACGAGGAAUUCCUAGUAGGCGCGGGUCAUCAACCCGCGCCGAUUACGUCCCUGCCCUUUGUACACACCG
rnacentral:rRNA from 1 species